GAUGAACGCUGGCGGCGUGCCUAAUACAUGCAAGUCGAGCGAAUGGAUUAGGAGCUUGCUCUUAUGAAGUUAGCGGCGGACGGGUGAGUAACACGUGGGUAACCUGCCCAUAAGACUGGGAUAACUCCGGGAAACCGGGGCUAAUACCGGAUAAUAUUUUGAACUGCAUGGUUCAAAAUUGAAAGGCGGCUUCGGCUGUCACUUAUGGAUGGACCCGCGUCGCAUUAGCUAGUUGGUGAGGUAACGGCUCGCCAAGGCAACGAGGCGUAGCCGACCUGAGAGGGUGAUCGGCCAAACUGGGACUGGGACACGGCCCAGACUCCGACGGGAGGCAGCAGUAGGGAAUCUUCCGCAAUGGACGAAAGUCUGACGGAGCAACGCCGCGUGAGUGAUGAAGGCUUUCGGGUCGUAAAACUCUGUUGUUAGGGAAGAACAAGUGCUAGUUGAAUAAGCUGGCACCUUGACGGUACCUAACCAGAAAGCCACGGCUAACUACGUGCCAGCAGCCGCCGUAA
rnacentral:rRNA from 1 species